rnacentral:lncRNA from 1 species
ACAACAACUUUUACGCAGACUAUGCCAGCCAUCUAUCUGAACGGAGCUCUUGUGUAUAAAGUCGGUCGUUGCCUCAGGUGGAUAAUUUUUUGGACCUCUGAUAAUCAGGUAAAUAUUAAUCUCUCAGUUUCUAAUUAAUUCUUUCCCAUGGUAUAGCAUCAGACUGACUUCACUUUUUUCACAUGGUAAUUAUAUUAAAGCUUAACUAUUUCUUUUAAAAAAUAAAAUAUAUUACAGCAUAUAUGAUAAUCCAUUCAUUUAUCAAUUGUAGGUCUCUACUAAGAUGUUCCGAAUUAAUGACCCUAUUGAUUGGGGACAAGUUGCAAACAAUCUUACAUCCGGCCACGGCGGCAAGAGCGAAGAUCGGAUUACUGAUACAGCCGGUUUUGGAUACACCGCAUGGGCAAGUAUUGAAGGUCAAGUAUUAACCGCCAAUAUCCUCGCCAGUUCCGUGCCUAAUUAAUCUAGCUUUGCUUUGAUUAAUUGCUGUCUAUCGUAUCUAGGCAAUCUGUGUGUGGUGGUGAGGC